UGACGUGGACACUUGCCUGCUGGAUGGAGACAGGAACUCAUUUUCCAUCUGUCAAGCAGCCUGACACAGAGUUGGUAAUGAUUUUCUGUCAGACUCGGCUUGGCUGGAUUUGAACCUGUGACCCAGAGCUAAAAGGCUGGAUGUCAAGCUCUCUGUAAAAUAGCCAGCUACCUGGACCUUGUUAUGCUUGGCCUAGUACUUUCUCUUUUGUACCUGCCAUGCUUUAUUCUCAACCAGGCGUAGCAACAGUGCCGACAACAAUGACAGAUACUGAGGAUACAGCGUGGCCUCAGCGAUGCCCAGGAUGCCGCUGCAUGUGUCAAAUCAGGAAAGGACAUGAGAGAGGAAGACAUGGGAUGGCAGAAAACACAGAAAAAGUGUUCCCUUGAUCCAAUAUAUUGCUUUAUUCUCUUCUUGGGACCAGUGAACAUUCUUCCAGCCACAGUAAAAGCAAAUAUUGGAGACUUCUUUAGAAGAAAGCAGAUGCCCCACUGGGGACAAAUUACACUUGUAUUCUGGUUAAUGAAUGGUCUUGUCUUUUUUUGAGCCAGUUUUUCUUCCCAUCUGGCUAGACAGAGUGAGUUUGUGUCACAGUUGCCUGCAUUCAUGGUCCCUCUAUUUUUGUUUAUUCAUAAGUGCACUGUGAUUUUUAACAUUUUAAAGACUGCUGCAAACAUUUAUCAAAUCUAUGAAAAAAAUGGUCUCAAAUUCUUAAGUGUGCUUAAUUCAAAAAUGUAACAGGCUGUUCUCACCAGAGGGGAGAUUUGGAACGUGUUCAGCACAUCUGUGUAACAGAGGAACAACAGAAGAAUAGUGUCAGUUGUGGAAUGUGACUAGAAUCCAUCAUUAAUUGCUGCUGUUCUUAAACUGACUGUAACAUUU